GUGAAUAUGAGAUUGAGAAUGCUAAUGCCGCUUAGAAUUACGCACGUGAAAUUUGUUUCGCCGACGUUGAUUUCUUAACGUGGCUUGCGUUGCUCUACCAUGAAUAUGAUUAAAUGCAUAAUUUUAUUUGUGCCUUCCGAAGCUUUAAAUUACGAAUUUAUUGCUCACGUGGAAGGGUGGUGAUCAUGGAAAAACCCCUAAUUAAUGUGAUUGAUAUAUGAUUGAAUGUAUGAUGAUUACAGGUAUUUUUGGGGUUGUAAUUAUUAAAUGGAGGCUGCGUCCUUCUUUUAUUUUUCAUGUAAUUUUUAUUUUUAGCGUAAUUUAGCAUAGUCAAUUGUUGAUAUAAAUGCUACGAGAAUUACGUGGAGGAGCCGUUAAACCGGAGAGCUCUAUGGGCCCGGUUC